CUCUGGGCUAUGAACCCCAGCUUCAGCUCUGCGAGGCAGAUUGCAUCAUCCCCCUCUUUCCAGUUCCAGCUUGGGAUGUUUAGCAGAUGCGCCUGUGGAAGCAAAAGCAAGUGGAAGUUAUCAAGAAGCCCACAUAUUGAACAUGUUUGAAUGCAGUUAGAGUUGAUGGAUGGGGAGAAGUCGCCUCUCUAACUCAGCAUCUGCAUUAGAAGAUCUGCUCUCACCAGCCUACGUCUGAGGAAGCACCAGGGGCCUGCAGGAGUACAAGGGAUGGAUGGCAAAAAGGGAAAUUUAUUUUCCAGAAACAUUUGCAAGACUUUCGAAAAUUCCAGGGACAGCAGUUUGGGGAAGGAUGUUAUUUCAGGGAGAAGAGAAGCAGAAUUUCUUAUGUCCUCUGUGAUUGAAAAUAUAAUUGAAAAUAUUCAAGACUGA